CUCUGUUCUAAGUGUCGUAUAUGUUGCAUGCCAGUUCUGGUUUGAUUGUGGUCUAUUCAUUGUGACUAUUUCUGUGUUGUUAAACUUGUUCAUUAUUCAUGUCUGAUAAUACGAAUACUAAUACCUCCCCCCAGACUCUACUAAUCCCCUCCUAAUUUACUCCUCCGACGUUCCUGGUAUGUCUCUUGUGUCCACUCCCUUUUCAGG
rnacentral:lncRNA from 1 species